rnacentral:rRNA from 1 species
AACUUACUCUGUAUGACUCGGCGGAUAUUCGUCUACCUCAGCGAGACCCUACCCUGUUAGGAGCUUUGGGAGGAAACGCAGUUCGCCUUCCACAGGCGAUAACCUUGCCCCGUGGACGUGCGGUUUACCCGUACGGAUGUCACCUAUAUUCUAUUUAUUAUGAUAUUCUGAAUAUAUAACUAAAUAAGUUAAAACUUUCAACAACGGAUCUCUUGGUUCUGGCAUCGAUGAAGAACGCAGCGAAAUGCGAUAAGUAAUGUGAAUUGCAGAAUUCAGUGAAUCAUCGAAUCUUUGAACGCACAUUGCGCCCAUUAGUAUUCUAGUGGGCAUGCCUGUUCGAGCGUCAUUUCAACCCUUAAGCCCCUGUUGCUUAGCGUUGGGAGCCUACAGCCUGCUGUAGUUCCUCAAAGUUAGUGGCGGAGUCAGUUCACACUCUAGACGUAGUAAAAUCUUUAUCUCGCCUAUAGAUGAGCUGGCGCCUUGCCAUAAAAACACCUAAUCUUUUACAAGGUUGACCUCGGAUCAGGUAGGAAUACCCGCUGAACUUAAGCAUAUCAAUAAG